rnacentral:rRNA from 1 species
UACGUAGGGUGCGAGCGUUGUCCGGAAUUACUGGGCGUAAAGAGCUCGUAGGUGGUUUGUCGCGUUGUUCGUGAAAACUCACAGCUUAACUGUGGGCGUGCGGGCGAUACGGGCAGACUGGAGUACUGCAGGGGAGACUGGAAUUCCUGGUGUAGCGGUGGAAUGCGCAGAUAUCAGGAGGAACACCGGUGGCGAAGGCGGGUCUCUGGGCAGUAACCGACGCUGAGGAGCGAAAGCGUGGGGAGCGAACAGG